rnacentral:rRNA from 1 species
UAGACUUGCAAUAAUUUAAGCCAUCUAGGGAAUGACUAGGCUCUGGCAGCGAGGAAGGUCGUGGCAAGCUGCGAUAAGCCCAGGGUAGGCGCAUGUCAGCCCUUGAACCUGGGAUAACCGAAUUGUGCACGCGCAAGCGUGCGAGCCUCACGCGGGGAAUUGAAGCAUCUUAGUACCCGCAGGAAAAGAAAACAACUGUGAUGCCGUGAGUAACAGCGAGUGAAAGCGGCGCAGGGCAAGCUGAAUCCGGAUUUGCAAAAGUUCGGAGAUGUGGUGCAGCAAGGACCGUUCCAUUAGCCGAACGCUCUGGAAAGAGCGGUCAUAGAGAGUGACAACCUCGUAGGCGGAAGCGGAAUGGUAUUAGCUGUGAAAAGAGUAGCACGGCCUGAGUACGUCGUGCGAAUACGGGGGCAUUAAACCCCAACCCUAAAUAUUGACCAGAGACCGAUAGCGAACAAGUAGUGCGAACGAAAGUUGAAAAGAACCCACACGUGUGGGUGUGAAAAGAUCUGAAACUAGGUGGUUACAAGAAGGUAAGGCGUGAAGAGAUGAACCGCAAGGGAAUCAGCGUUUUACCCUUCUUCUUGAAGCAAGAGCCAGGGAGUGUAAGGUAGUGGCAAGUAUAAAAGCGAAGCGAAAGCGAGUCUCUCGCAAGAGAGCGGGUGUGAAAACGCCUUAGCCACUAUUCUACGACCCGAAGCCAUUGUGAACUACUCGUGGGCAGGGCGAAGUCGAAUUGAUGUUCGAUGGAGGCCCGCAACCUGUCAUGGUAUAUCCUGUUGGGUGACCUACGAGUAGGGGCGAUAGACCGUUCGAACAUGGCAAUAACGGGUCCCCUUCGAAGUAUCUUUAGGAUAGCCUUGGGCAGCUUGCGCGCGUGGUAGAGCGACCGAUUUUUUGGUGCGUUCCGAAAGGAUCGGCCAUCGAGUCAAACUCCGAAUAUGCGCGCUGCGUAACCCGGGAGUCGGCGGCAUUGGGUAAGCUAGUGCGGCGAGACUUGAAAGCGAGUGACUGAGGUUAAGGUCCCCAAAUCGUAGUUAAGUGUAUCGAAGGAGGCUCGUGUCUUAGACAGUCGGGAGGUAGGCUUAGAAGCAGCCAUCCUUCAAAAAACGCGUAACAGCGUACCGAUUGAGACAUGGGUCUCUGAAGAUGGACGGGGCUAAACUACGUACCGAGACCCCAGAGGCGUCAGCAAUGACGUUAUGGUAGGAGGGCGUGCUGUAUGGCAAGAAGUUCCGCUUUGAGGCGGGAUGGACCGUGCAGCAGAGAAGAUCCUGGUGUAAGUAACAGCAAAUACUGGAAAGAAUCCAGUACGCCGGAAGCACAAGGUUUUCCCCGACAUAAUCUUUAGCGGGGAGUUAGCCGAUCCUAAGCUGGGAGCCAAUCACUACCCAGCAAAAGGGAAGCAUGUUAAAAUUCAUGCGCCCAUUGCGUAGGUGUGGCAACACAAGGCACAUUUCUGACGCUUGGGGAUAGUCCACUUGUAACGUGCAAAUGGCCGCGGAGUCUCAUUAUGAGGAGAAGCGGCUAAAUGAACUUUGGACAAAUUCCUGAGCCAGUGAAAAGGGAAUGCGCAACGAUCGCGAUGGUUCGUACCUAGAACCAGUACAGGUGCUGCUGGACGAAAAGUCCAAGGCGUGCCGGGGUUAAAUCAGGUUAGGGAAAUCGGCAAGUUAGUGGCGUAAGUUUUCGAUAAGCCAUGUCUGUGCUUAGUAAGCGCAGAUUGCAAUAAAACGGGGGAGGCAACUGUUUCAUUAAAACACAACUCACCGCAAAGCCGUAAGGCCUAGUAUAGUGGGUGACGCCUGCUCACCGCUAGUACGCGAAACCCUGUUUCAACGGGACUAAGCGCUAGCAAAGAGCGGGGGUAACUCUGACCCUCUUUAGGUAGCGUAAUACCUCGUCGCUUAAUAGGCGACUUGCAUGAAGGGCGUAAUGACCCCCCCACUGUCCCAACCUGGUGCCCGGUGAACUCACUGCGCGGUGAACAUGCCGCGUACUCUCAGUGGGAAAUGAAGUCUCCAUGAAGCUUGACUAUAGUCUGUUGUUGUCGUGUGACGGGUGCUGCAGAGCGUAAGUGGGAGCGUCGAUGUCACGGUUUCGGCCGUGGCGGAGCGAAAGUGUAACACCACUCUACACCUGUUACGCGGCUAACCUCGCAAGGGGAACAGCGGCAGAUGGAUAGUUAGACUGGGCGGUUGCUUUCGAUAAGGAAACGAAAGUGACCAAUGCUCUGCUUAGCUGCGUUGGAAACGCAGCGUGAAGCUAAAAGGCAAAUGCAGGGCUGACUGUGCAGCGAAAAGCGGGCUGCGCAGACUAGAAAUAGGGGCUUACCGAGCUUUGGAGGUCCUUUUAAUGGGACCCCAAACUGUCAGAAAAGUUACUCUGGAGGUAACCGGUUCGUGGCUGGUGAGAGUUCACAUCGACCCAGCCGUUUGAUACACCGAUAUGGGCUUGUCUCAUCCUGGUGGUGCAGGAGCCACCAAGGGCCGGGCUGCUCGCCCGUUAAAGAGACACAUGAGCUGAGUUAAGUCCGCCGCGAGGCAGGACGGUAAUAUCUACUGGGAGUGUAGGUGUCAGAGGAUAAGGUGCAGUUAGUACGAGAGGAAUAUUGCACCGGUGCCACUAGUUUACCAGUUGUGAUGAGCAUGGCUGGGUAGCCACGCACUUAGGGAUAAGACCUGAAAGCAUCUAAGGUCGAAGCCCGAUCCGAAACGAGACAUCAGGGCGGUUCUAAUACAGAACUUUGAUAGGAUGGGCGUGUAAGCGGAAAGCGCAAGCGAUCCGUGAGCGCACCAUUACUAAAGCCUAAUUUGCAAGCUAC